AUGCUCCGUAACAAACUCCACCAAUGAGCCAACAGGGAAGCUUUAGGUUUAUUAAAUGUUGCUAUGAAGGUUUCACUGUUUUUCUUUGUGAAUGCAAUGUGCUCCAACUGAAACUUGAAUUAGAACUUAGAAGUAAAUCCUUCCAUUUGAAAGGAUUUAGUUGCAUUAAUAACCUGAUAACAUUCAAAUUUUUAUUCCAGUCUUGGUUGGAAAUAGAAUCUCUGUAUUGAUUCAGGUAAAAACUGAACUUCACAGCAUGUUGAAGCAAAACAACCAGAUGAAAACUGUGAUGGCGUUGGAUUGUCAGACCGUAAUGUUGCAGCUCAAAGCAGCUUUUCUAGCUCAGUUCAUUCUGACAUUCAGCUAUGAAUCAACACAGCAGAUGGUGAUCCAUGCUGUGGAAGUCUCACAUCUCCUGAUUUAAUGGAGCUGCUUUGCACUUUUUACACUCUUUAUUCACCAACACUUUAUUUAAUAAAAGUCCCAUCUAGUUUUUAUGAGGAAUGUGAUGUUUUAAUUUCUCUGUGAAUAACUGCAGUCUAAUGCAACAGCUGGAGUUGUAACAUCUGUCCUGAUAUUGAUCAUGAAGUAUUGAUCAGAAUACUUAUGGUUAGUAGUCAUCCCUGAAGUUUUACAUUAAAAUCUUUACUUGUGUUGUGAACUUUGGUAAGAAGCAGAAACGUUAGCGUUGCCAUGGAUACAUGAGUGUUAAAUUCUGUCCAUGUUUCCAUUUUGGGAAAUGCAGUCCAGUUCCAGAAUGUGGAAGAAUUUAGUCUCACAAUCACAGACAACAAAUAUUAACUGAAAGUCGGGUUAUUGUUGUUUAUCAGCACAAUACAAAAAGAUUAAUGUUAGAAAUAUUCCAGUUAAGACUCUAGAAUACCAUGAUUUAUGUAUAUUUACCUCAAUAAUAUGAAUGUUCAGGUUAAGAUUGUACAGUGAUAUUUAUUAUGUAAGUUUAGCUGAUUAAAGUUUAUGACUGCACUAAAAUAUUAUUUAAAUUGACAUCAUUAUUAUAAUAUUUAGGGUCAGACCCUACAGUACUGCGAUUAAGAAAUCAAAUAUUCUAUAAAAUGUAAAUACACUGAACUCAUUUGAUAUAUUUAAGUGAGACUCUAGAAUAUUAUUUGACACAAAUCUAUCGAAAUCAAAAUUUUAAUAAUUUUCAUGCCAAACAUUUACUGGACUGAUUUAAACAUUAAAAUCACUCCUUUCUAAUCCUCUGCUGUACGUUCAAACCUGAGGCCUUAAAUAGAAACACACAGAGAACAAGUUCCUUCUUGAAGGAACUUCUGCAGAGUCCUGGUUCCAGAAUAUGAUGAUAGAAUUAUAGACAAACUUUAACAAAAGCCGCCUGAGAGUUUACAGGUUUUUAUGUUGGAUUUCUUCAGUAAUUUAAUGAGCGUUAUCAGCAAUCAUCAAGUGUUCAUUUAAUGAACUUCAUUUUCUAAAACAUCCAGAAUUGGAGCUCAUAUCUUUGGCAGCUGUAAAGUUUCUGCUCCUUCAAAGUUCACAACACAAUGAAUUAAUUCCUAAAACACUCUCAAUGCUGGAGAGCAUUUGUGAUGCUGAAGCAGUGAUCAGUUUUUCUGUUUCUUCUCUGGAGAUGCACAAUGAGGGACGUCUGCAGUGACUGAGAAAGAGUCUCACCACAUCCUGACAUGAGGAAAAAGACUUUAUUGAAGACUACAAUGAGAAAAACUAUCAGACAGCAGACGGCAUGCAUUCAAGUUGAGCUCUGAACAUUUGAUCUGGAACAGGAAUUCAAUAACAGCAGCAUGAGCUUCAUUUCAGUCUGUAGCUGCUGAAUUCAUGGAUGAAUCAUCUGGCACUAGAGAGGAAGACCAUCAAACAUCCACGUCAGCUGAUGGAGGUCCAAGAGUCUCACCGAACAACCAACCUACAAAGUGAAGACCUCAAAUCUGAUUGGACGGCCUCCUAUUCAGCCACAUGUGUGAACAAAUGCCUCUGAGUUGAUUUGUUUUCUAAAAUAAAUCUAGUUUGAGUCCUAAUCUAUGCCUGUGUGUUUGCUUCUUUACACCGCUGUUAACAGUUUAGGCUGUUAGAUUGUUCCAGAUAAGACAAGUACAAGAUCCUGCAGAGCCGUUCUACCACGAGCCUGACAGGAAGAACUCCAACAGCUACUCAAUGUUCCUGUGGUCCCCUCAAGGCUACAGGAGGAGUCCUAUGAGGACGAGCAGGUCCACCUGAUGGCGGCCAGUCGCUGCGGUUCAAAGCCAACACCGACUACGUGGACUUCUACUGGACCACACGGAGGCCUUCAAACCGGACCACCAAGUUCACGGACUCCCCGACUCAUGGGUCUGAGGAUGCCGCCGAGCCUUGGCCCAGCCGGCCUCCUGUCUGUGGGUGUUUGAGUGCUGAGAGGUUUGUGGAUGUAUGUGAACGUGUCUGUGUUGAAACAGCAGCUUUUGACUCACUAACGCCGGGAAAAACCAAGAGGUCCUUUAUUUGUGACUUGCACUAAAAAAACUGAUGAAAAUAAGUUUGCCAGGGUUCUGACUGAUAACAGAUUAUUAAAUAAUGAAAAUAAUUGUUUAAAUAUUCCUUCAAACAAUCCUUUUAGGUCUGUAUUUCCUUUGCACUGACUUCUUGGUAUAUGUACAAUGUUUUGGGUGGAAUAUACCAUUAAGCCCGAUGUUCAAGGGUUCUUCUGGGAAUAUACCAUUAAACCAACCUUUUAGGUAAAUGUUCCAGGAUGUUGGGUAGAAUAUACCAUCAGAUCAACCUUUUAGGUCUACAUUGGAAGAUUUUAGAGUAGAAUAUUACUCCAAACCACUGUUCCCUCUAAGCUGCGCGCGUGCGCAAUUGCGCACUGCUGACACGGUUUCCGCACACAGAAAAUCUGCGCUGCGCACAAAAAAAAAAAAAAAAAAAAAUCCAACCUAAAUUGUAAAUAAAAUAAACACGUCACAAUUCAUUCUGUGCUAUUUUUCAGUGUGAGUCAGUGAGUGAUCGGUGACUGGCUGCUGCAGCCAACGAUGCGAUUCACAUACGUAUUUACCAUAGACUGUAUAUAAUGGUAUUUACGCAGCUAAUCAACGUCAGGCGUCCUUAUGUGCAGCCACCGUUGUUCUCAUAGAUAUGAAUGAGUUGUGAGGACCCGCCCCUUUGAGCUGCGUGCUACGGCGAGGCUAAGCUAGUGGGGGGAAAGUUUCAGUGCAUUCUGUUGAUGUAGACGGCGUGAAAACGGAAACAAGUAUGCUGGCUCACUGUGCUGUAUACAAUUACACACUGCAUCGUACGAUUGAGACAAGGAAACUUGGAAUGACUUUUCAUAGGUAAGAAUAGUUUUUGGCUCUUUUGUCAUUAUUAAAUCUUGUUGAGAGCUUCCAGUCUAUGAGAGCUAACUAGUUAGCCACUAGCAAAACGCUAAGGCGAGCUAGCAUCUUGACAACCAAAUACCAGACAAUUAAUAGUAGCUGUAGUAUAGUUGUACAAGCAGUAGUAGUAAUACUAAAAGUACAAGCAGUAGUAGUAUAAAAUAGCUGUUAGAGUCAUAGAAGUAGUAUCAGCAUUUGUAAUAGUAUUACAAGUUGUAGUAGCAGUGCCAGUAUCAGCAGCAGUAGUUUGUAGUCACAUUGCUAUUACUACCACCAAUACUACCAAUAGUAGUUUUAAAGCCUAACUCAUGUAUAUCCAGAUUACCAUCUAUGUUCUUCCUCCAAACACAUUUUAUGAUUGGGAUUACAGGCAGUUCUUUAGGACUGCUCUCAAAUAAUUGAAAUGUUACUAAACAAGGUUAUACUUAUCAAAUUAAAUAGCUCUGGACUCCAGUAUAUUUGCGUAUUUGGUUCUUUGUACUUAAUUUAUUAGCGUGAUUUCUUUUUAAUAUGUUGUGUACAGACUUAAUUACUUCUGUCUACUUUUCUUACUCCAUGUAGGUUUCCCAGAGACUAUGGGUUGAGGAGGAAUUGGAAGUUUGUCGGCUUAGACCUGGUGUCAUUCCAUCAGUGUUUAACUUCCCCGCUCAUCUUGGAAGAGUACAUGCCAGAAAGACCACGACCAAGCAGCCUUGAGAUCUUAGGCAGCGUUUCCCUGAGGUCCAUCUCUAUCUCCCCACACAUCCACCAACCACUGGAACACAUCUCCAAAGUUCUGCCGGGCCAGCUCAGCUUCCCCUCAGAAGAAGUGCCGCCACCUGCCAGAUGAAGGAGCCUUUUGAGAGGCAGCUGGCAUCGUGAUUGGACUGUACUUUGGUCUGUUCCAAUCCAGCUUCAGCUCCAGCGACGGCAGGCGGGACGAGUCAACGGAGGCCGGGUGGACGAAGGCAUGCAGCUGAGUACAAUCCAGAAAACAACAGAGGAGGAGUGCAGUGGCCCAGGGCCAGAACAAACAGAGUAGCAUCGUAUGUCUCUUAGAAAAUAACAUAGUAUAGCCUUUGGUAUGAAAAAAUGCCAUCAUAUACAUCGUAUAUUGUACAAAUAAGAAGUCAAAGGAAAGAGACAUACAUUGUAGAAUUGUAGUAAUUGUGGGCUGACUGAUUUACUGAUUAUCCGUAUUUUUUUACUGAUUUACGGUAAUAAAUACAUUUAAAAAUGG